rnacentral:rRNA from 1 species
UACAGAGGGUGCGAGCGUUACUCGGAAUUACUGGGCGUAAAGCGCACGUAGGUGGCGACGUAAGUCGGGUGUGAAAGCCCCGGGCUCAACCUGGGAAUUGCAUUCGAGACUGCAUUGCUGGAGUACGGAAGAGGAGGGCGGAAUUCCCGGUGUAGCGGUGAAAUGUGUAGAGAUCGGGAGGAACACCGGUGGCGAAAGCGACUUCCUGGACCAAUACUGACGCUCAUGUGCGAAAGCGUGGGGAGCAAACAGG